rnacentral:rRNA from 1 species
UACGUAGGGGGCUAGCGUUGUCCGGAUUUAUUGGGCGUAAAGAGCGUGUAGGCGGCCAGGUAGGUCUGCUGUGAAAACUCGAGGCUCAACCUCGAGACGUCGGCGGAAACCAUCUGGCUAGAGUCCGGAAGAGGAGAGUGGAAUUCCUGGUGUAGCGGUGAAAUGCGCAGAUAUCAGGAAGAACACCGGUGGCGAAAGCGCUCUGCUGGACCUAAACUGACACUGAGGGACGAAAGCUAGGGGAGCGAAUGGG